GUAGGGAAUAUUGGGCAAUGGUCGGAAGACUGACCCAGCCAUGCCGCGUGCAGGAAGACGGCCCUCUGGGUUGUAAACUGCUUUUAUCUGGGAAGAAAAAGGCCAUGCGUGGCAAAUUGCCGGUACCAGAUGAAUAAGCACCGGCUAACUCCGUGCCAGCAGCCGCGGUAAUACGGAGGGUGCGAGCGUUGUCCGGAUUUAUUGGGUUUCAAGGGUGCGUAGGCGGCUGAUUAAGUCAGCGGUGAAAGACUUCGGCUUAACCGGAGCAGUGCCGUUGAUACUGGUUGGCUUGAGUGUCGGAGGGGUACAUGGAAUUGAUGGUGUAGCGGUGAAAUGCAUAGAUACCAUCAGGAACACCGAUAGCGAAGGCAUUGUACUGGCCGACAACUGACGCUGAUGCACGAAAGUGUGGGGAUCGAACAGGAUUAGAAACCCGGGUAGUCC
rnacentral:rRNA from 1 species